GAUGAACGCUAGCGGCAGGCCUAACACAUGCAAGUCGAGGGGUAACAGAGGAGCUUGCUUCUGCUGACGACCGGCGCACGGGUGAGUAACGCGUAUGCAACCUACCUUUACAGGGAGAUAGCCCGGAGAAAUCCGGAUUAAUAUCCCAUACGAUUGUUAAGACACAAGUCUCUACAAAGAAAGCUUCGGCGGUAUUAGAUGGGCAUGCGUCCUAUUAGUUAGUUGGUAAGGUAACGGCUUACCAAGACUCCGAUAGGUAGGGGGCCUGAGAGGGUGACCCCCCACACUGGUACUGAGACACGGACCAG
rnacentral:rRNA from 1 species